CUCUUAAGUAAACAAAAAAAGCUGUCUGCAUCUGCGACAGCGACACCGCACCAUGCAGCAAUACUUCGCUCAUCAGUGCAGGAAUUGGCAGCAUUGAGAAGUGUCUGAAAUACAGGCGGGGAAUGGCUUGGAACCCGGCUGGAGGCAGAUUCGCGGGCAGAUUCCCCAGAAUCGCAGGUGCCCAGAAAUGCGAAUCCCGCGUAGAAUCUCACGGGCUUCAAGCGCAGAGGAUAUGGAAAAAGGAUGCGCAGUCUCGUUCUGAGGCACGAGAGGCGCAUUGAC
rnacentral:lncRNA from 1 species